rnacentral:tmRNA from 1 species
UGUGUUUACGAACACGUUUCGUGCAACUAAAUUAUGAUUGUUCUUAAUGAACUAUGGACAUAAAUGCGCGCAGAAUAAGCGGAUCGGACCCGGGGGCGGUACCCGGCGGCUCCACCAAAACGCAAUCGCUUACGAUGAUUUUGGGGCCGAAACAGGAUCGACGAACGUCUAAAAGCGUUAGCUUUGUUCCGGCGGGGUACCACCGUUAUCGGUCCAAAAAGCAUAAUUGCAAACGACAAUCGUGCUCCGGUUGCAGUUGCAGCGUAAGCGGCAACAAUACCGACAUUCUAGUCCUUAUCGCCUAGCAGCAUAAGGCGGGGCUUGCCGGAGCCUGGCAACAGAAUCCGGCACU